rfam:Clunio marinus genome assembly, contig: CLTMA_superscaffold_10
GUCAGUGUGUCCGAGUUGGUCUAAGGAGUCAGACUCAAGAUUAUUCUUACCAGAUGUUGAAGUCUGGUUGAGUGUUCUGAUCCUCUUCUUGAGGGCGUGGGUUCGAAUCCCACCGCUGACA